UAGAAUUUGGUGUAUUUGGGAGCACGAAGAGUUUUGGAUUCUUAGGAGUAGGUUCGAUUCCUAUAAUUCUAG
rnacentral:tRNA from 1 species